rnacentral:rRNA from 1 species
AUUGAACGCUGGCGGCAGGCCUAACACAUGCAAGUCGAACGGUAGCACAGAGAGCUUGCUCUCGGGUGACGAGUGGCGGACGGGUGAGUAACGUCUGGGAAACUGCCCGAUGGAGGGGGAUAACUACUGGAAACGGUAGCUAAUACCGCAUAACGUCGCAAGACCAAAGUGGGGGACCUUCGGGCCUCACACCAUCGGAUGUGCCCAGAUGGGAUUAGCUAGUAGGUGGGGUAAUGGCUCACCUAGGCGACGAUCCCUAGCUGGUCUGAUAGGAUGACCGUGCACACUGGAACUGAGACACGGUCCAGACUCCUACGGGAGGCAGCAGUGGGGAAUAUUGCACAAUGGGCGCAAGCCUGAUGCAGCCAUGCCGCGUGUAUGAAGAAGGCCUUCGGGUUGUAAAGUACUUUCAGCGGGGAGGAAGGCGGUGAAGUUAAUAGCUUCACCGAUUGACGUUACCCGCAGAAGAAGCACCGGCUAACUCCGUGCCAGCCGCCGCGGUAA